rnacentral:piRNA from 1 species
AAGAUGUUCUCUUGGGCUCUCCUGCAG